rnacentral:piRNA from 1 species
UCAUGUUUGUAUUUCUCUCACUCAG